rnacentral:rRNA from 1 species
CCUACGGGUGGCAGCAGUGGGGAAUAUUGCGCAAUGGGCGAAAGCCUGACGCAGCGACGCCGCGUGAGGGAUGAAGGUCUUCGGAUCGUAAACCGCUGUCAGCAGGGAAGAACGGUCACUGUGCUAAUCAGCAGUGAAUUGACGGUACCUGCAAAGGAAGCACCGGCUAACUCCGUGCCAGCAGCAGCGGUAAUACGGAGGGUGGGAGCGUUAAUCGGAAUUAAUGGGCGGAAAGCGCUCGUAGGCGGUAUGUCAAGUCAAGGGUGAAAUCCCCGCGCUGAAAGUGGGAACUGCCUGUGAAACUGGCAAACUGGAGUGUGUGAGAGGAUAGUGGAAUUCCAGGUGUAGGAGUGAAAUCCGUAGAUAUCUGGAGGAACAUCAGUGGCGAAGGCGACUAUCUGGCACAUAACUGACGCUGAGGAGCGAAAGCGUGGGUAGCAAACAGGAUUAGAUACCCGGGUAGUC